GACUGUGGCAGCAAGCACAGGGCCUGCACAGGUCUGGGUCAGAUGGGGUCCCAGUGCUGAGAGUCGAUGUGAACGCAAGCCGAUAUCCUUAACCUAGAAGCUUUCUCCAACUGGUAACAACCAGCAGUGAAAGAAUAGCUUUCAGCAAAGGACGCUCACUGGGUGUGUAUCUGUAGCUCUGUGUAUAUACUCCACAUGUGUGAAGGUACCUGUGGAGGCCAGAAGAGGGCAUCUGAUCCCCUGGAGCUGGAUUGCAAAUGGUUGUUGAGUGACUCCGUGUGGGUGUUUGACACUCUACCCUGGUAGAGCAAGAAAUGUUGCUAACUCCUGGGUCAUCUCUCAAGUUCCAGAAGUGUCCUUCUGUUUCUUAAGUUCUAAUAGUCCCUGGCUUCGCUCUUCUUUUCAAAACUGGCACAGUUAUUUAUGCUGAGUACGAAGAAAGAAGUGACCCUAGUGCCGUGGUUAUUGAAGGUAGAGUUUCUUGUGUGAAAUGGUAUCGUGAGAGUCAGGUCUUCAACUGCUGGAACUCAUACCCCUUUGAAAAGCUCUCCUUCCCCCAUGUGAGGAAUGAGCAGAAAUGACUGCCUUCGACUUGUGCAGGAAGUGAGCCUUCACCGGAUACAGACUCCCACGACUUCUAUGUAUAAAUGUAUCUCUAUGUAUCCAGAACUGUGUAAAAACAAAAAUCAGCUGUCAAAACCCAUCCACUGCAUGCUAUUCUGACAGAUGGAUUCAAAGGUGUGUACAUUUUUUCAUAAAUUUUAGCAAAUAUUAAAUUAUUAAAAAACUUCUGUGUAUUAAAUAAUAUAGUUUUUUUUUGUUUGUGAGUUUUGUUUUUUAGUUUGGGGAUGUGUAUUUCUCUGUAAGACUCCAUACUACAAUUUCUCAAUUGACUCAAUUUCUCUGGGUAAAAGCA